UUUUAGUGUUUGAUUAAAAACCCUCAAAGGAAAAGAGAAAUUUUGAUCUUUGAGAAGAGCUGUUUCAUCACAGGGUGAAGUUGUUUCCUGAGCCCUUUGAUCUGAAAUGACCUUGCGACCUGGAACCAGCAGACAGCCUGAGGGAGGCAGUGCAUGUUCUGAGCCAGGGCCUCAGGAGGCCUGCAGCUGCCAUUCUGCUUCUGUUGGAACAUGACCUCCUUGAGAACACUCCCAGGCCUGACUGCAGGGUGGGGAGACCACACAGAGCAGAGCCGAGCCACCGGGAUGAGGCCCCUAGAUCACCCAGCUCCCAGCUGACCACAGAUCAUGAGUGAUCCCGUUUCUCCCUAGGUCAAGGGUGAUGUUUUGCUCAGAGAAAACUGAAGUUUGGAUUGUUCCAGUCCUGCAUCACAUCCUGUUUCAGGCUGCCCUAAAACAAAACCAGAAACAACCAUCACCACAAAACA
rnacentral:lncRNA from 1 species